rfam:Oryza brachyantha chromosome 10, whole genome shotgun sequence.
GCAGCGCCGAUAAUGAGUUUACAAUGUACUAGGUUAAAUUCUGAUCGAUGUGAGCCUCUGUGGUUCGAAUGAUGAGUUGAUGGCAAACCGUGUGUUCCUCUUGAUUUGAGGCGCCGU